CGAAAAUUUUAUAGAGAAACUAAAGGGUUCUGUUGCUCUGAUGGAAAAGUUAAACUUUAUAUGCCUGAUUCACCAACUGAAUUGUAUAAUUUAUUUACUUCUAAAGAACCUGAAUGCAUGGAGUUUAAGAAAAUUUCACGUGGAUAUAAUAACCAUUUUGCAUUCACUUCAUUUGGUGUAAAGUGCGAUACAGACCUUUUUAGAGCAUAUAAAGGUAUUUACACAUUCAGAAUUCAGGGACAAGUAUAUCAUUAUGUAAAUCAACUUCUGCCGGAAAAUAAUCAGCCUUCUUAUAUGCAAUUAUAUUUUUAUGAUACGAAUAACGAAGUUGAAAAUCGUAUGAAAAUUUCAGAAAAUUUUGUUGAAUCUACUUUGAUCAUUUUGAUUGAAAUCUUGAAAGUAAAUCCGUAUAGUAGAUUCUUUAGGUCUUUAAGUAAUAUGACCAAUUUGCACGACCAUCGAAUACAAAUAAGAUGCGAUCCUGGACUUGAUCAAAGAGUCUUCAAUACUCCUUCAGCAUCUCAAGUAGCCGCUGUAUGGGUUGAGGAUGAUGACAAUGCAAAUAUUCGUGUUCGUGAUAUUACUAUAUAUGGUCAUUCUGGUGAUUCGCAUAAGGUUCACGAUUAUUAUGGUUGUUAUGAUCCUUUGCAAUACCCUUUACUUUUCCCAUUUGGAGAACCUGGUUGGCAUGAAGGUAUUCAGAGAUACAAAAAAACAUAUUUUGAAACUCAGAAUUUACCCGAUUGCGUAGCUUUUCCUAGCACAGUAAAUUUUGCAACUGAAAUCAUUGCAAAAGAGGCUCAAGGUUUGCUAUUAAACUUUUUUAUAUGUUUACUAAUUCAUAUAAAUUAAAUGUUCCAAAUGGGUGUAAGAUGCAUUUUUUUUUAUCCUUAUGCAGUAUUCAAUGGAAUGAGGAAACGAUCACAGGUUUCUUGCCGCGAGUACUAUUCUUACAAGUUACAAAUUAGGCCUUCUAGUAAGUCUGUGUUGCUUCAUACUGGUAGACUUUUUCAACAAUAUGUUGUAGAUAUGUAUGUUAAAAUUGAAACUGCCAGAUUAGACUAUUUUCGUAGCAAUCAGAAACAAAUUCGUGCUGAACUUUAUCAAGGUAUUGUGGAUAGUGUUCAAAAUGGGGAAAUAAGAGGGUCAAAAAUUGGAAAGAAGAUUGUUCUACCACAAACUUUCACAUGUGGGCCUAGAUAUAUGCUUAAAAGAUAUUUAGAUGCAAUGGCUAUCGUCCAACGUUAUGGAAAACCAGAUAUAUUUCUAACUAUAACAUGUAAUCUAAAUUGGUCAGAAAUUAUGCAAGAACUCAAACACAAUGACGAAGUUCAAAAUCGACCAGAUUUAAUUGCACGUAUAUUUAGAGCAAAAUUGGAAGAGUUAAAGAACGAUUUAUACAAAGAAAAUAUUUUUGGUUCAGUUGUUGCUCAUAUAUACAUGAUUGAAUUUCAAAAAAGAGGGCUCCCUCAUGCCCAUUUAUUGUUGAUUUUCAAUUCUGCCCAUAAAAUUUGUUGUGCUGAACAAGUUGAUAUGAUAGUGUCAUGUGAAAUUCCCGAUAAGAAUAAAUACUUGCAUCUUCAUUCUGUAAUUGCAAAACACAAUAUGCAUGGCCCUUGUGGAAACCUUAAUCCAAAAAACGUAUGUAUGUUGGCAAGUAGUGGUUGUAAAAAUAAAUAUCCUAAGGAUUAUUGUAACAGUACUAUAUUUGGUGAUAAUUCAUAUCCCUUGUAUAGACGUCGUGAUAAUGGUAUUUCUAUUAAAGUAAGAGGCCAAAUGUUAGAUAAUCGGUGGGUUGUACCAUAUAAUCCUUAUUUAAGUGCAAAAUUUGACUGUCAUAUUAACGUUGAAGUAUGUUCUUCUAUUAAAGCAGUAAAAUAUUUGUACAAAUAUGUGUAUAAAGGACAUGAUCGUAUUAAUUGUUUCGUAGGCAGAAAUGAAACAGAUAAGGAAAUUGAUGAAAUUUUUGCUUAUCAAUCAGCUAGAUGGAUAUCUCCACCUGAAGCUAUGUGGAGAAUUUUUUCUUUUAAUUUGUCAGAAAUUUAUCCUACUGUUUACGCUUUACAACUUCAUAUUAAAGAUC
rnacentral:lncRNA from 1 species